rnacentral:rRNA from 1 species
GGGUAGUCCUGGCCGUAAACGAUGCCCGCUUGGUGUGUCACUCCUCUCGGGGGAGUGACGUGCCGUAGCGAAGGCGUUAAGCGGGCCACCUGGGGAGUACGGUCGCAAGGCUGAAACUUAAGGGAAUUGGCGGGGGAGCACCUCAAGGGGUGGAGGCUGCGGUUCAAUUGGAUUCAACGCCAGACAUCUUACCAGAGGAGACAGCAGAAUGACGGUCACUCUGAAGGGGUUACCUGACGAGCUGAGAGGAGCUGCAUGGCCAUCGUCAGCUCGUGCUGUGAAGCGUGCGGUUAAGUCCGUUAACGAGCGAGACCCACGCCCCUAGUUGCUACGCUAUUCUCCGGAGUAGCGGCACACUAGGGGGACCGCUGGCGAUAAGCCAGAGGAAGGAGUGGGCGACGGUAGGUCAGUAUGGCCCGAAUCCUCUGGGCUACACGCGGGCCUACAAUGGGCCAGGGACAAUAGGUUGCGACACCGAAAGGUGGAGCUAAUCCCUGAAACCUGGCCCUAG